rnacentral:rRNA from 1 species
CGGACGGGNGAGUAACACGUGGAUAACCUACCUAUAAGACUGGGAUAACUUCGGGAAACCGGAGCUAAUACCGGAUAAUAUAUUGAACCGCAUGGUUCAAUAGUGAAAGACGGUUUUGCUGUCACUUAUAGAUGGAUCCGCGCCGCAUUAGCUAGUUGGUAAGGUAACGGCUUACCAAGGCAACGAUGCGUAGCCGACCUGAGAGGGUGAUCGGCCACACUGGAACUGAGACACGGUCCAGACUCCUACGGGAGGCAGCAGCC